GAAUUGACGGGGGCCCGCACAAGCGGUGGAGCAUGUGGUUUAAUUUGACAACGCGAAGAACCUUACCAGGGUUUGACAUGACGUAAAUUUCUUUGAGAAAAGAAAGUGCCGUAAGGAAUACGUACACAGGUGGUGCACGGCUGUCGUCAGCUCGUGUCGUGAGAUGUUGGGUUAAGUCCCGCAACGAGCGCAACCCUUGUUUUUAGUUGCCGUUAGGAAAUCUAAAAAGACUGCCGAUUCAACAUCGGAGGAAGGAAAGGACGACGUCAAGUCAUCAUGCCCCUUAUACCCUGGGCUACACACGUGCUACAAAGAGUAAGACAAUGAGCAGCUAACCUGUGAAGGGGUGCGAAUCUCCAAACUUACUCUCAGUUCGGAUUGUAGGCUGCAACUCGCCUACAUGAAGGUGGAAUCGCUAGUAAUCGCAGGUCAGCAUACUGCGGUGAAUCCGUUCCCGGGUCUUGUACACACCGCCCGUCACACCAUGGGAGCUGAUCACGCCCGAAGUUGUUACUCUAACCUUUUGGAGGAGGACACCUAAGGCAGGGUUAGUGACUAGGGUGAAGUCGGAACAAGGUAGCCCUACUGAAGGUGGGGCUGGAUUACCUC
rnacentral:rRNA from 1 species